rnacentral:lncRNA from 1 species
AGAGUGCAUUUAGCUUGGAGGAAGAAGAAGAAUCUUGAGAGUGCAAGAAGGGGGCUGUAGAUCCGGGAUUGGGAAGACAUUAUUGAGAUUUUGGAGGUAUAAACUAGUUCCUAGACCCUUUUUGCAUCUAGAUUUAUGUGUGGUUGUUGGGGCUCUUUAGCCAUAAUGAUAUUAUUUUGAGUUAGGAGCCGGAUCUGGAGUUGCUACUUUAGAUCCAAGUGUGUUAUGGACUGGAAAAGCAUAAAGUAUCAGCCCUUGAGUCGAUUUUGAAGCCCCUUGGCCUUAAACCCUAGUUUAUGGCGCUUUUUGCCUAGAUCUCCCUCUCUACACGUAAAGUUUGCAACUUUACGUGGGGGAUAGGCUUGGGAAGGGUAGAUCUACAGUUUGGAGUCCAUGCAUGACUCGAAAGUCCUCUGCAUGUAUGUAGAUCUGAAUGGACUCGGCGAGUCCUUCGAGUGGACUCGGCGAGUAGCUUGAAGAUGAGGAGGAACUCGACGAGUGGGAUGAACAGCUCGUCGAGUCGGAUGAAGAUGGGCAUGAACUCGGCGAGUUGGAUGAACAACUCGGCGAGUUGGAUGAAGAUUGCCGUGUGCUCGGCGAGUCUGUUCUUAGACUCGGCGAGUCAGGUCGAGUGGUCCCAAACCCUUCGAGUUAAGACUCGAGUCAGCGAGUCGAGCAAGGAAUCAGUGAGUUGGUCAGGACAGGAUUCGGGAAUCUGUAGACUCGGCGAUUCAAGUCGCGAUUGGAAGGACUUUGAGCAUAAGAACUCGGCGAGUCAGUAAGUGGACUCGGCUAGUAGGGUUGACCUGGAAGGUUGAAUUUGACCAGGACUUUGACUUUGACAAGAGUUGACUUAGUUGACCUUUGAAGGUCAGUUAGACUAAGUGUUAUGUUGAUAUUGGUAGCUCGGGGAGCUAGUGGAGCAUCAGUCCGGAGUCAGUGGUCAGGUAGCGGUCAAGGGAAUUAGCAGUAGCAGUUCAGCAGUAUCAGGUGAGUUUUCCUUUGUAUGAAUGGGUCUACGGCCACAAUGCCGGACCAUGUAGUUAUGAAUAGAUGACCCGGGGGUUAGCCCUAGGCACAGUAUGCUAGUAUGAUAUUCGGGACGAGGUCCAAUGAUAAAGGGCGGAUGCCCAAGGAAUGGUUUAUGUGGUAGUUUAUACUUGUUGUCUGUGUGAUACUCGUAUGUGCCUGGUAGGGAGGUGAGCGUGGGCGAGGUCCCGUAUCUCACCAAUAGCAGAGUGUGGAUGGUGUUCCACGUCUCAGUAGCAGCAAAGCAAGGGCGAGGCCCAAGUUAGGGAAGGAGUGAGGGUGGGCUGGGCCCGUACCUCACUGUCACCAGGAGUAUGGACGGGGUUCCAUGACUCAUCAGUAGCAGGACAAGGGCAGGGCCCAAAGAUAGGCGAGGCCUUAGAGCAAGAGUCGUUAGUAUAUGUUUAGCUUAUGUGAUGUUAUGUGAUAUGUGUAUGUUCUAUUAUAUGUUAGUGGGUGGGGCCCUAUGACAGGCGAGGCCUAAGUGAAACAGAUCUGUAUCCGAGCGGGGCUCUAAGCCAGGCGGGGCCUGGGACGGCGGGGCCGUUGUAGCGGGCGAGGCCCGAGGUAGGGGGCGAGGCCCAGGUUAGCGGGCGUGGCACAGUAUGUGCAGUACAUGGUUAUGCAUGGUAUGUGGUAGGGUGGGGAACUCACUAAGCUUCGUGCUUACGGUUUCCAGUUUUGUUUUCAGGUACUUCCGGUAGCGGAGGGAAGAGCUCGGGGUGAUCGCAUGGCACACACCAUAGUUUAGACAGCCUGGGAAUGUUUACUCUGAUAAUGAAUAUGUAUUUUGGAAACUAAUACUUUGUUUAUGUUUGAAAUGAUGAAUUUGCUUAACGUAAUGUUUUAUUAAAAUAAUUUUUUAGUCUUGAAUUUUGGGACGUUACAUUUUAGGUACUUCUGGUACGAAAGAGAAGGGGCCGACGUAACUGCACCGCAUCCACCAGAUUGGUAAUUUUCAAUACUUACUUUAAUGUUUAAAUAAUAUGUUCACUUUGAUCGGUUUUAGAUCAACUCAUUUGUAUGGUAAUUUUCAAUAUUUACUUUGAUGUUUAAGUAUUAUUUAAACGAGAAUUGAAGACCUUGUCAAUAGGAUUCUGUCGAUAUAGAGAACAACAAGAACGAAGUCUGUAUGUAGGAGUUAUUAUUUCCGCAACAAAUUAAACAACCCAAGCCUAUGAAAAUAUUAAUUUUUGAUAGAGUGAGAAUUAAGUACGUAGGAGUUCUGAUUUCCGCAACAAAUUCAACAACCCAAGCCUAUGAAAAAUAUUAAUUUUUGAUAGAGUGAGAAUUAGCUAUUGGGGUCUAAAGGAAAGUUGUAGAUCUCGUUGAGAGCUUACUAUGGAUUAAAAGAACGUCGAAAACAGAGCUCGUAUGAAUAAGUUACACCAUUUUGAAAAUCUGGAAAAUCGUUCGCCCGAAGUGCGCGACACGCACGAUGAUGUGGCACCAUGAGAGAGCGCCACGUGGCCAUGUCAGGGAAGCCGGUUUCUUUUGAGACAUGCCGACGUGGACAAAGGAUAUUUUGAAACAUGGCACCAUAGGAAGGUGAUGUGUGACAUAUAUAUAUAUAUAUAUAUAUAUAUAUAUAUANNNNNNNNNNNNNNNNNNNNNNNNNNNNNNNNNNNNNNNNNNNNNNNNNNNNNNNNNNNNNNNNNNNNNNNNNNGAAGAUGUAUAUAUAUAUAUAUAUAUAUGUAUGUUUUAAUUGCUCAAGUUUUAAAUUUAUAAAACUGAUUUUAUCGCAACUAGACUAACACACACACACACACUGGGAAGUGAACCUAAUCGUGUAAUAGUAUAGUUGUGGUAAGAAUAGGUGUCGAACACAAGGGGAACGGUGGUGAAUUAAUUUAGAAUAUUUGAUUAUAGGUUACACAAAUCACAUAAAUAAUAGGAAGAGUUAUGUUAAAUACUUUAAAUACCAAAUAACAUCAAAUAUCGAAAAACUGACUGGAAGACAAAUUUCUUUAGGUACUUUGGUCAAGAUAAAUUACAUCUCAAAUUAAUGGCUAACUACUGAUAUAAUGGAAAUUUAUUCAUUAUUCACCGAUUCCUAAUAUGACUAGUGUCAUGGUUACGACUACUAAUCCUUUGAUUUCAACACAACUAUUAAUCCAUUGAUCAGGUGAACAAACAAUCAUGCAAAUCAUUAUUUAGUUCGUAUUAAGAAAAAUUUGAUCUUAUUUAACCCUAAUGGUCAUAGGAGUUAAAUCAUGCAGAGAAUUGUCAUUCUACUCAUGCACACACAUUAAGGUUCAUCACUUUAUUCUCUAACCCUAGGUUUUGGUCAAAACUCUAGUCAUAAUCACCAAUGGUCACUGAACAACUAUGAUUCAAAUUAACAUAGCUAGAUGGUCAUCUAAACUCUUAUUAAUUCAACAAUAGAGAACAAAGUAGCAAUCUUUAACACACAUGGAUCUUCAAUCAAACUUGACAAAAUAAAUUAAACACAAAUAAACAUUCCAAAUAGCAAUUAAACCAUAAAUUCAAAGAUUCAAGCAAUCUUAAACACAAAGUAAAAGGUUUUAACAUCUAAAUCAGAAAGUAAACACAUAAUGGAAUCAUAGUGGAAUGCUAAACAUGGUCACGAUAACAAACCACAUGAUCACCAGCAUGAAUCUGCUCUCCAAUCCUUCAAAUUUUCGCUCCUGUCAGCUUAACGGCCUUUCGGUUGCCUUCUAGACCCCCAAAACGGCAUAAUAGAGGUUACUUUUCGACUAAGGAUCAAUAGAAAUGGAGUUCUCCCCUAAAAAUCGUCCAUAUGCUUGAAAUAUAUAGAUUCCCGAAAAUUUGAUCACCACGACAUGGUAAUAGCACCACGUCGUGGUCCUCGUGUGUAUCUCGUAUUCUCCUGGUCAGUAUCACCGCUCACGAAGUUUCGAUUUACCACGCCGUGGUAAUUCAGAAUCAACAUUUUCUCAGAACAUGAAAGUUGUAUGAAAUUUUGUGUAGUUUCAGAUCAUUUUGAAUCUUAUCAAUCAAAGUUACGAGUCAUGAAAUAUGGCGAAAAUACAAAUGAGGGGUCAAGCUGUCCAACAACAUCUUUUUUGCGUCCUUUUAGCUCCUUUCUCCUCCUUUUGCAUUCCAGCUCCCAUUUUAACUGUAAUUCAACAUUUCAAAGUGUAUUAAGUAUCUUUUAGCUCUGAAUAACAUAAAAAAAUAGUAUAAAUAUUGAUAGGUUUAAUACAAACAAUCCUAUGUGUGCAUGCAACCCUAGUUGGAUCUAUGUUUUCACUAUAAGACAUACAACUUUAUGAACACAAAAUAAACCCUAGCAUGCUUCUAUGAUUUUCGAAAAUUACAUAGAAGUGUAGUAGACAUACCUUUGUUGUUAUAUAGCAAUAACAACUAGUUUCCUUGAUCUCUUGAACUCUCUUGAACUCUUGAAAGCAAGCACCACAAUUGUAGUGCCUCUAAUGGCUCACAAACACCUUGAAGCAAGAAGGCAACUAAGAGAGAAGAGGGAAUGAUGCUAAUUUCGGCCCUAGGGUUCCCUUGGAAUCAAGUGGCCUUAAAUUGAAGCAUUGGGCAUGUAUUUAUACUAUAGGGUGCUAGGGUUUUAGUCUAAACCCUAAUGGACAGCUUAGCCACCAAGCAGCCCAAGGAACCUUAUGGAAUGAGGCCUUGGACGAAAAUAUGAUGAUCCUUCAUCAUAAUUUCGUUCCCCCUUAGUCCAUUAGGUUUCCUAGCCCAAAACUCAACUAUCACACAUUUGACAGUUUAUACCCUUUUAUUUAAUUAAUCUCUUUUAGUCACCAAAUUAAUUCCUAAUUAAUUUAUGACUAAUACUAAUUAAAUAAAUAUGAUUUAUCCUUUAAUAUAUUAUUCUUAUAAUAUAUAAAUAAAUCAUAAUAUCUCCUCUCUCAUAUCAAAUUACCUUGUCAAGUUGCUUUGGUGAAGGCAACCCAAAAGGACCAUGCACACUCGGGUCAAGUAUAUACCAAAUAUGGUUACUAACUUAGACACUAAUACAACAAAAUAUAUGCGUAAAAUAGACAUUAUCAGAAGGUGACACGUGGCACCUUUUAGAAAGGGCAUACAGGGACAAAUGAGGCGACGACAUGUGGUAGAAGCCCAAAGGAGCCAUCAGGGCCAUAUAGCAUGGCGCACUCCCAUACAUGUACGACAUGCUUUCUUUUCAUGGAUAUAAAUAGUGGCCUUCGUAUAAACAUUCAUCCCUAAACCCGUACACACUUUCUCUCUCAAGUAUUUCUUACUUGUAGGCCAUUUUCCAUUAGUUUAUGUGUUCUGGCAAAGCCCUGCAACCCCUGAGGUAUUCAACCAAGUAGUAGCCAAAAAGUAAGAGCCCCACGAGUGCGAUUUAUGGACUUUGGACAGGAGGAGCCUUUGUAAGUUAAGCUACACUCUAGUUCUUUCACUGUAACUUAUAUUUAUAGUCAUAAGUCGUUAUUAUGAACAUACAAAUAAUAACUAUCAGUAAUUCCAAGUUAUAAUACUGAUGAAUAUACUUAGGGGAAAGGUGACUAGCAUGGUCAUGUUGGCUUGGUUGUUGGAUUUCAGAAAGGCUACACACCGAAAUGGUCAUGCCUCCCAACUUUCUUGUCUGGCUAAUCCUUAUUUGAUAGAACUAUCGAUAUUUAUUGGAAUGAUUGAUAGGUCUAGGAUAUCAUUAGAAACUUUAGACUAAAACUUAGUAAUAAUUAUCAUAGGUCACUUUAAAGGAAAGGUCAAGUGCUAGAAGCAAAGCGUUGCCCGAAAUCAUCACUUUAACAAGUGAGUGCAUAAUAACUUCGACUUACACAUAGAUAUGAAGUAUCUAGAUAAUUAUAUGCUAAAUGUGUCUAUUAUUUGUACUUCCUGAUAUCCUUGUUAGAUAAAAUAUUAUAACAUCAUNNNNNNNNNNNNNUAUAUAUAUAUAUAUAUAUAUGGUAGAAAAUGGAUGAUAAUGAUGAAAUAUAUGAGAUGGAGAUGAUGAUAGGAGGAGAGGCCUUGACUUUAUAGAUGAUCUAGUCAUCUAGCGGAGUAUAGAUGACGACCACAUACUAUUCUAGAAAGUCCAGUGGAGCGUUGGCAAGCUUGCAAACUGUAGGUGUUUUUGAACUACGCGUUCACUAAUGAUGUGCUCCAUCCCCGCAUGGUUGCCUUAUUGACAUACAUUUGCUAAGGAAUCCCCUAAGCAGUGUUGUCUACCUUGAUGCUUACAAUGAUCCUUAGGGUAGGUCCCUUGAGACUAGUAUUUAGGGUCAUAAUAUGAGGAUAACGGGAAUGGGUAAUCGGGUUGAAUUGUUUGAUGAAAAGAAUAACUAAAGAAUUUAAUUGUUGUGGGUUGAAAGCCUAUGUGUUCACCAAACAUCCCCAAGUAUGACCCACUCAGUUUCCUUGUAUCGUUGGUAGCGGUACGAAAGCACAUGUGUGUUGAGAUGAUUCUGAUAAGAGGAUAAUGGAAUGUAGGCCGAUAGGUUAAUGUACUGUUGUAAGGCCUACAAUCUUUCGUUUAUGAUUAUGUACUUUAUUGACGAUUACAUCCCAAAAUUUUUUUAUAUAAUAAAGUACAUUCCUUUGGAAAUAAUUUCAAAAUAUUAUUAUCAUGUUUUUGGGAAUAAAUUACACAUUAUAAUUCUUUAAAAAUAAUACUUUGAUUUUUAAAAAGCAUAAAUAAAUCGGUAUUUUCUUGUUGUGAAAUUGGGGAUGCAACAAUAUCGAUACUUGUGAUACAAAGAAGUUGAAUGGGUUAGGUUGGGAAACCUGGUGAGUAUAUUGGAUUUUCAACCCACAAUAAUAUAGUUAAUAUGUUUAAUUAUCAAAUAGUUAACCCGAUUACAAAUCCAUGUUUUCUUCUACAUUCAUUUCUAAGAACUCUUCCUAAGGAUCAUCACCUACAUCACAUUUCAUCUCUAAGAACUUCUCCUAAGGUUCAUCGCUUAAUCAUCACAUUCUAUAUUUCAUCACUAAGGACUGCUCUUAAGGUUCACCUCCUAAUCAUCGCAUUGACAUUACUACUUCGGGGAUUCCUACGUAAUACAUGUUAGUGGAGUACAUCACAUGAAUAUAAGGUUCAUAUAUCAACUGAACUCAUAAUUCAUCACAUAUAGGUUGCGAACCUGCCAGUAUGCUACCAGACUGUUUAGAUUCGUCUGUGGUCGUCACCUAUACUCUGUUAGAUGACUACAUCACAAAAAUCACAAUCAUCGCAAGUAAAAUUCAUGACAUCUCCUAUAUUUUUAUUUUUAAGGACCUCUCGUAAUCAUUUUUCAUCUCUCAUCUCCAAUCUAUCAUCACCCAUUACUACCCGAUANNNNNNNNNNNNNNNNNNNNNNNNNNNNNNNNNNNNNNNNNNUAUAUAUAUAUAUAUAUAUAUAUACAUACAUAUACACACACACAUACACAUACACACACACACACACACACAUAUAUAUAUAUAUAAUAAGUAUGAAAGUAACUAUGCACACACCUGUUAAAAGUGGAUGCUUCGGAAUUUGGGCAGAACUUCACCUUGGUACUUUAGCUUUUCCUCUAACAUGACCUAGGUUUAUAUUACUAAGUCUUAGUCUUAUAUUUUUGGUGACUAAUGAUAGUCUAGAUUUCUCACUAAUCCCAAUGUCUACAUCAAGAUCUAUCAAGGAAGGAAUAACCAGAUGUGAUCAUAUCAUAGGAUCAUAUCGGAUGUAGGGUCCUUUUUGUAUACAAAGUAUACUGUUUGGAAAUCCCACUUUAAACACCUCACUAAAUUCAGCCUAGACAUCAUCCCCGUAAGUAGAUCAAUCAAUAUAAUGACUUGGAAUCACUGAUAACUCUUAUUUAUAGGUUCAUAAUAACGACUAUGACUAUAAAUAUACGUUACAUUGACAAAAAUAUGAGUGUACUUUAACUAACAGAGAUUCUAGAGAAAAUCGGGAUGAUUACAUGGACAGAACUCCAACUUGAGAGCUUUUACUUUCCAAGUUUUCCAAAUAAUCCUAAAUAUUAAGAAAAUUCCAGAUCCAAUGAGAGAAAUUCGAGAAAGAGAUUAAAAGAUGAGUGAAUGACGAUACUUAGUAUAGUGGUCAUGUCUAGUUACAAACUAAGACUCAUAUAAGAUACUUAUUCCAAAGUAAAUUGAAUAAAUGCUUAGUUAUACCUGGUAUUGCAGUAGUAUUGUAUAAACAAAAAAGUUGUGUUUAAGAUUGAUUAUGGGUUUAGUAGUCAUGUCUAGUUAUUGAAUAAAACUUGAAAGGAAUACUUAGUUCAAUUAAGUUGGAUUUUAGGUAGUUGUAUACCAGGGGUGUGUGUGAGUCUGGAGCAGAGAGUAGAGCCAUGUUCUAUGACACUAUAGCGUGUUAGGGUACGAGUUACAUACCGAAGUACUAUACGAGUAUUCCUCCUCUUUUUCGACAACCAAAAAUGGUGGGUCUGUAUCAGGCAACCUGUUAGGUAUGUCUGGUCAUCUGCUAGAGUAAGAUGAUAAUACUUCACUGAUCUAGAAAAGUCUCAUGAAUUACGCUGUUAAUAUGGAUUUAUAACCCACAGACGUACUAUGUAACAUGACGGGUGUCCCUUCCCAUAUGUUUUUAUACUUUAUCCCCCUCAUAGUUUCCUUUAUUGACUUCUACUGCCAAGGAAUCCCUAAAGCAGCAAAGUCUACUUGUUGCUUACAAUGAUACAUCAAGUUAGAUCUCAAGGAUCAAUGAUAUAGGAUCAAUAUGUGAGAAUCAAUGAGAUGAGGUAGAUUGUCUUAUGGAUAUCUAUGUUAAAUGAUACAUUGUUUGGAAAAGUUGCUUUUGUAGGUUUAUUAAUUAUGAUUUAUUAUCAUUAAAAUAUUAUGUUAGGUCUUUACACUGUAACUUAUGCACUAUAUUAAUUAUGACAUCCUUAAAGAUAAUUUAAUAAAACGAGACAGUUUUUGAAAAAUGUUUUAUUAUAGAGAGAUUUUCUGCAAACAAAGAUAAUAUGGUUUUGAAAGCGUAAAGAAAUUUUUGUUUUCGAUUUUGAAAAAUACGGGAUGUCAUACUGUAGCAACGAAAGUAAGUGUAAGACUAUGAUGGUGUCAUAGUUGUAACAUCCGAUUUCGGUACAUUUCUUUAUUUUGAAAACCGGACUUGAAAUUAAUCAUGAGAGGGUAUCAAUACUCAAGGGAUGAAGAUUGGGCGUUAAACAAAUAAGGUUUAUCGGGCUAAGGGGAUUGAAUCUUGGACUGAAUAUUAUUUGGGCUUAAUUAGGUUAUGUAUUGUGUAGCGAUUUGAGGAAGUCUUGAUGCCACUACCUAGAACGACGCUAGAAGAUGAAGUCGCAUAAUAACCAUCAGCGUUACUUCCUUUCAACCUCACAUAAUCACAACUAUCGUUCUUUCAAAUGUGUUUCCUAGCAGACAUAUAUUUUUCUUGUAUGGGUGAUUGUAUAAUAUUUCAUAAACCAAGUUCGAAUGUUCAAAGUCAAAAAUUCAAAAUUGUUUUAAAAACAUUAUAAAAUCAAUAGAAUCAAUAUAUAUAUAUAUAUAUAUAUGUGUGUGUGUGUGUGUNUAUAUAUAUCAAAAGGGAAUAAUUCAAAAAAUCAAGCAUGCAGAUUCAUAUGCUUCUAUUCUCCAAUCCUAUGUCAAUCUCAAGUCCUUAGUGAUGGCUAACAAUUCGAGCCCUUAGUGAUGGCUAACAAUUCGAGUGCAUGAAAAGUUAGCAGUUAGCACAAUUACCUAAGUCUUGCACAUUCUAUGAAUUAGGUACUCGUGAAAACGUCACACAAGAUCACAUAAGAGACAACUUUUCCACACUUCAUCUUGCUUUUAGGAAUAUCUAAACCCCAUUGUGGGAAUAUAUCUAUUCAAAAUUUGGUACAUUGGUCACACGAUCACAAUCCCAUCUUAAGUGAAUGCACAAAUACGAUGCUCAAAACAAAUUUGAAAAAUAAGCAUUAACUUUACAAAUGAAACAUGUAUUCGAAAAAAAUAUUUCAUGAAUGAAAAAUUACUUAUAUUAUUCAUAUUGGAAGUAAGAAGUAUAUUAUGUGAAAUCAUUUCAAAAUCAAAGCAUGAAAUUAGGUAGGGACAUGUACUCCCAGUAUAAAUCACCUCAAGUUCUAAACCUAGUUUAUAACUCAAUUUAACCCAUCCUAAUCAUUGCAUAACAUUAAGGAGGUACUAAAGAAGUUGUGGAAGCGAUUUAGGCUAAACUAGGCUUAGUUGAAAUUUUCUCAUGGAUCAAAAGGGCACAUGAUCCAUGUGAAAUUUUCCUUGGCAUACACAGCGUAAGUGUGAUUCCUUGGUCAUGCCAAUUUGUAAAUUUUUACUCCUUUGGGUAAUGUACUUUGAUGUAUUUGCCACAAACCUUCUGUAGGCCUACCUAAUGACUUUAAUGAAUGAAAUAAGUCAUAGUAAAUUAUUUUACUAAUCAAAUACAUCUUAUUUUAUUAAUGUAUCAAAGAUUAAAGGUCUUAAAGUUUCAAAGUUUGAAUGAGCUUGAUAUUAAUCAUCAACUUCGAAAAUUUCUUUUAAGCUUUAUUUAACCUCAUAAAUUUAUUUAGGUUGAUAUUAAUUAUCAUAAUAUACUCAAAUGCCAUCAUAACCAUGAUAUUAACCUUUUAUAAAAAAAACCUAACUAUACAAGGAUUUAUGACUCAAGUAAGAUGAUCUAGUGAUUUGAGCAACAAAAACUUUAUUAAGUUUCAAAGACAUCUUAUAAGCUCUAAAAACUCAAUAAACCUUUUAUAAAUCUAUAUCAUCAUCCAAUGAGUUCCAAUUUACUGAAUCAAUAUUUAAAGUAGGUCAUAAGUAAAUCUUGAAUUACCAUUCAAGUCCUCAGUCUAACCUGAAAUCUUCAGAUUAGUUAUAUUAGUGUGAUUGCCAACAAAUGGCGGAUUUUUUAGAUCACAUAAAGUUUAGAAACAUAAAAGUAAGCAUAGAGACAGCAUCAAUUCAUGAGCAUAACUUCAAAUUUGGAUUUGCACCAUUGUUAGGGUUUUGGAGCAUCAACAACUAAUUAUGCUCGAAAUGAAGAUAUAAAUGCUAAGAAUAGAAGUAGAUUAGCAUUAAAAAUGCUUAGAACUAACAUAAAACUCUAAUGAAACAUUUCUAACAUGUUGAUUUUCGAAUUUAGAGAUUCCCUUUAAACCUUAACUUCAAAUCUAGGAUACGUGCAUAAUAGAGAUUACCAUCUCCUUUUACCUGCUAUGAUCAACAACAAUAUACAUUGAUCCUUGUAAUAUAAUUGUGUUUUAUUUUGUUUUGUUUUUUUUUUUUUAAUUUGUAACCGCUAAAAGUGUACAUUUUUGUUAGGGCGUUAAUGGUGCAUCACCCGAACCAUCUAAAUUAUAUCAUGCAGAUUUAACAAUAUGAGUGAGAAAAUACUUUGACCAACAUUAUUCAUUAACCAGUAAAUGUGUUUUACUCAAACUCUUAGAAGAAAUGUUUUAUUUUAUUUAACCAAAUUAAGGUGGUCCGGGCAAGCUCGUCACGGACCUUUGAAGAUAUUUAAUUAUUUAGGACCGACUCUAGAGACUUGUUCAAGAGUUGGGUAAACCCAUCCAAUAUAAUUUAGGAUUAUAUGAUCUAUUAAAUUUUUUUUUAUAAACUUUGAUGUAUAACAUUUUCAUAUGUUAUAUUUCAAAAUAUAUAGUCCGAUUUAUUUCAGCAGUGAUGGCAUAUGUGGUUGAAACGACAAACAUAAUAGGACAUAUGAUGUAUCGGGGAGUCUAGACACUUCCAUAAGAAGCAUGUUAUUGCCAGCCAGGAUCCCACCCCCACAAUAUUUGCAUCGACAGCAUUAUAUUCCUUUCUAUCUUUAAACUCCCAUUAUCCAAUUUAUAAUAUACUUUUUAAGGAUUUAUAGAUUUGAAUUUCUAUGUUCGUUAAUAUUCAUUAUCUAAAAUAUAAGACGACUUAUAGGUAAGUAACUACCUUCAUAGUUGGAACCAUGCUUUUGAAAGUGUAAUUUUAAAAAAAAUAUGUUAUUAUUUACAUAAAAUUUAUUGUUUAUCAUGUUUACAUGUUAUGUAAAGUAUUUAUACAUUAUCAUUUAAUAUAAUAUUUAAACACACUUAAACGAUGGCCAUACAAGAAAUUAAAUUUUCAUGUGGUAGAUGCUACUCAAGAACUAGUUUGGUUACAUUGGCUUUCGACUGACAUGGUAACUACUCCCCAGUCCCUUUCUACCUCGUUAUUUUGUGACAACAAUAACGCUAUUCAAAUUGGCAACAAAGUCGUUUUCCAUGAGCUUAUGAAACAUUUUGAGAUUCACUGGAACUUUGUCUGUGAAAACCUUGUUCAUAAAUCUGUUCUCCUUCUUCUACUAUCCAAGUCCCGCGAUCAACACGCUCACAUGUUUACUAAGACAUAUUUCCUUAUUUGUUUUCGAUUCUUAGUUUCCAACUCAAGUUGGAUCAUACCUCCCAAUACCAUACUCAUUUAACAUAUAAUAUUUUGUCUAUUUCAUUUUCUGUAAUAUGUUACUAGUUGUGAAACUCGUAUAUUAUAGAAACAAAAUGUUAAAUAGAAACGAUGAAAAGUUUAUUUGAAUUUGAAAUAAAUAAAAAUUAUGAGAAAAAAAACAUGCAAAAAAUAAAUAAAUAAAAAUUAUUGUUUAGUUAUCAGACCCGUAAACUAAACAGGUUAAUUAUAACAAAAUGUUAAACACAAAUGUUUAAACUGUAAAAUUAUUUGAAAUUAAAAUUAAAAUUUAAAAUUUAAAAUUUGAAAUUAAUAUCAUUAUGAUAGGUUUAAUUUAUGGAAACUAAUUAGUAAUAUAUUAGAAAUGAAAAAUGAAAUAAAAGACAAGUGGAAAAUAAAUAUAUCUCUAAAUUAAAACAAAAUGACAUGUGGCAAAUUGAAUGAGAAAACGACAUGUGACAAAAUCAUUUUUAUUUAUUAGGGUAGAUGAGUUCAUUAAUUUAGGAGGUUAUGUUGAUAAAGGAUAUAUGCAACGAUUUUUAUCCGAUCAACUCGUUUCAUUUUUAACUAGUUUCAUAAAUUUAGGCAUAUCAAACAUAAUCUAAUUAAUAGUAAAAAUGAUAAAAGAAUAGUCAUGUGUCAUGUCAUUGCCUUAAAGGCAACAGUUUCACAUAUAAAAAAAUAGGUUUUGUUCGGAUAUGUAUGCAAUAAAACAAAAUUAUCAAUUAUGAUAAUUAUUAUAAAUUAAUUUUAUUAUUAUUAUAUUUGAAAACUUUCAUUAUAUAAAGGGGCUUUAGUGUCAUUUGCAAAGUGCCACUCCCAAUUCUCCUCAUCUCUUCUUCACUCUCUCAAUUUCUUUAAUAUAAUUAUUUAAUAAUAUUUCCAAAAUGCCAGGAAUUGCAUUUGGUCGUUUUGAUGACUCCUUUAGCUUUGGCUCCAUCAAAGCCUACAUUGCAGAGUUCAUCUCCACCCUCCUCUUUGUCUUCGCCGGCGUCGGCUCCGCCAUCGCAUACGGUAGCCAAUCACUGAAUCACAUACCUUUUAAUUAUUUAAUUAACAAAACCCUUUAUUAAUUUCCCAUGCAAAUUCACGUUGCUAGCUGUACCUACGUACGUAAUAAUCUUCUUGACUUUUGUUCAGGCAAGUUGACGGCAGACGCCGCCCUAGAUCCGGCGGGUCUUGUUGCAGUGGCAGUUUGCCAUGGAUUUGCACUCUUCGUAGCCGUUGCUAUCGCCGCUAACAUCUCCGGAGGCCACGUCAACCCAGCUGUCACCUUCGGAUUGGCUGUUGGUGGUCAGAUCACCAUCCUAACCGGAAUCAUUUACUGGAUUGCACAACUAGUUGGCUCCGUCGCCGCAUGCUACCUUCUCAGUUUCGUCACCGGAGGACUGGUAAGCAAGAAACUUUAAAAUUAACCGAUGAAAAUAUCUCAUUGACCCAUAAAAAAUAAUUUCCAUCGUUUUUGGUGAAUAUAUGUAUAUAAAUAUAAUCAUGAACAAUAAUAUUAAAAUACAACCAAUGUUUUUAAACAAAACGAUUUCGGAGGCUUUAAUCAUCAUUUUAGGCUAUGUUUUAGUGUUACCGACUUAGUGUUGUACCACUAUUAUUAUUAUUCUUUUAAGAUGAUAAAGUGGGGUCACAAUUUUUCUGAUUUUUACUUUUUUAACACUACAAGACACUAUAGUUUUUAUUUUUAUGGUAUGUACUUGUAUACGAAUAAACGUUACUUGUCUGCCCAUAACUUUCUGAAAAAUGCAACUCAACAGACUUGUUUGUCAUAAAUGAGUUAGAAUUCAUAACCAUGUGGUUUUGUACAUCUUGGAUAUGUACUUAUUCUAUAUACCUUGUAUUUUUUCAGGCAGUGCCUAUACAUGGUGUUGCUGCCGGAGUUGGAGCGAUUCAAGGAGUUGUGAUGGAGAUCGUUAUCACAUUUGCGUUGGUUUACACAGUAUACGCCACUGCCUGUGAUCCAAAGAAGGGCUCAUUGGGAACAAUUGCACCCAUGGCCAUUGGAUUCAUUGUGGGUGCCAACAUUUUGGCAGCCGGUGCAUUCUCUGGUGGAUCAAUGAACCCUGCCAGAUCUUUUGGACCUGCAGUGGCCAGUGGAGAUUUCUCUGGCCACUGGAUCUACUGGGUUGGACCACUUAUCGGAGGUGGCCUAGCGGGACUCAUUUACCCUAACGUGUUCAUGAAUCACGACCAUGCCCCCCUUUCAAGCGAGUUUUAAAUUUCUUGUGAAUCAUUUUUAUUUGUGAUUGUAAUAAAAGGAAGGAAAACAAUUUAUUUGUUUUUCUUUCUUUUUAUCUUAUUUUAUUUAUGAGGAGUUCAUUGAAUUUGGUUCUUUUUUAUUUCAUUAAUUAUGUGUGUAUUGUGAUUGAAGCUUUUAUGUUUGAUAUUGAAAGAUGAGGUG